rnacentral:rRNA from 1 species
GAUGAACGCUAGCUACAGGCUUAACACAUGCAAGUCGAGGGGUAACGAGAGGGAAGCUUGCUCUCCUUGUCGACGACCGGCGCACGGGUGAGUAACGCGUAUCCAACCUGCCCCCAACUAGGGAAUAACCUUGCGAAAGUAAGACUAAUACCCUAUAAUUUCCUCAGAUGUCAUCUGACGAGGAAUAAAGAUUUAUCGGUUGUGGAUGGGGAUGCGUCUUAUUAGCUUGUUGGCGGGGUAACGGCCCACCAAGGCAACGAUCAGUAGGGGUUCUGAAAGGAAGGUUCACCAAAUUGGAACGGAGACACGGUCCAAACUCCUACGGGAGGCAGCAGUUAGGAAUAUUGGUCAAUGGGCGGAAGCCUGAACCAGCCAAGUAGCGUGCAGGAUGACGGCCCUAUGGGUUGUAAACUGCUUUUAUACAGGAAUAAAGUUAGCCACGUGUGGUUAUUUGUAGGUACUGUAUGAAUAAGGACCGGCUAAUUCCGUGCCAGCCGCCGCCGUAA